rnacentral:rRNA from 1 species
CUACGGGGUGCUCCAGUGAGGAAUAUUGCACAAUGGGGGGAACCCUGAUGCAGCAACGCCGCGUGGAGGAUGACGCAUUUCGGUGUGUAAACUCCUUUUAUAUGCCAAGAAAAUGACGGUAGCAUAUGAAUAAGCACCGGCUAACUCCGUGCCAGCAGCCGCGGUAAUACGGAGGGUGCAAGCGUUACUCGGAAUCACUGGGCGUAAAGGACGCGUAGGCGGGUUGGAAAGUCAGGUGUGAAAUCCUACAGCUUAACUGUAGAACUGCACUUGAAACUUCUAAUCUAGAGUAUGGGAGGGGGAGAUGGAAUUCGUGGUGUAGGGGUAAAAUCCGUAGAUAUCACUAGGAAUACCUAAAGCGAAGGCGAUCUCCUGGAACAUUACUGACGCUAAGGCGUGAAAGCGUGGGGAGCAAACAGGAUUAGAUACCCGCGUAGUC